rnacentral:rRNA from 1 species
UACGUAGGGUGCAAGCGUUGUCCGGAAUUAUUGGGCGUAAAGAGCUCGUAGGCGGCUUGUCGCGUCGAAUGUGAAAUCUCAGGGCUCAACUCUGACAUUGCAUUCGAUACGGGCAGGCUAGAGUUCGGUAGGGGGAGACUGGAAUUCCUGGUGUAGCGGUGAAAUGCGCAGAUAUCAGGAGGAACACCGAUGGCGAAGGCAGGUCUCUGGGCCGAUACUGACGCUGAGGAGCGAAAGCGUGGGGAGCGAACAGG